AUUGGCCCUUUGCUAUUCUAGCAGGCACAUUUUGUUUCUGCAUUUUUUAAAUCUCAGUCAGACAGACUGCAAUAUUUUAGAUCAUCCUGAACCUGCAGCCGAUUAAUUUUCUCUCUUUAAUUCGUCUGUUAACGUUAAAGCGAUGACAGCUUUACCCCCCGCUGCACUUCCCUCCAGAGUUUAAAGAGUCCGCGAAUUUAAAACAACUGAGGGCUGCAUUUGAGCAGUUGUGAAAUUAUCAAAUGAAACAGACACCGAAAGGUCUUUGGGAAGCCCAUUUUACCAUCCAAAACACAUACAUUCGUUCCACAGUUUCAAAAUCACAUUAUCAUUCCGGAUCCUUCUUUUUAAUGUUAGUGUCAAUUACCUCCAUGUGUAUCAGCAGCUUAACCAGUAGAUCUUCCUGUUCAGACUUUGCAGUUGUGGUCUGGUAUCUUCUAACCUGAACUAACUUCCCACUCUAACUCUAUGCAGGUCCAUUGCAGAACAAUACGAAUGUCCUGCGACCAAGAAAAGACUCGACCUUGUGCUACUUAAUUGUGUGAAGCUGAGAAAGGUCUUUCGGCGAGAGACCCAAAGCAUUGACCCGCAUAUCUCCUGCAGACACUUCAUUCACACAGCUCGACUUACAGUCGCCCGAAUCUCUAUUGUCUCGCUACAACAAUGUAUAGAUUUU